GACGAACGCUGGCGGCGUGCUUAACACAUGCAAGCCGAACGAUGAUGCCCAGCUUGCUGGGUGGAUUAGUGGCGAACGGGUGAGUAACACGUGAGUAACCUGCCCCUAACUCUGGGAUAAGCGUUGGAAACGACGUCUAAUACUGGAUAUGAUCACUGGCCGCAUGGUCCGGUGGUGGAAAGAUUUCUUGGUUGGGGAUGGACUCGCGGCCUAUCAGCUUGUUGGUGAGGUAAUGGCUCACCAAGGCGACGGCGGGUAGCCGGCCUGAGAGGGUGACCGGCCACACUGGGACUGAGACACGGCCCAGACUCCUACGGGAGGCAGCAGUGGGGAAUAUUGCACAAUGGGCGCAAGCCUGAUGCAGCAACGCCGCGUGAGGGAUGACGGCCUUCGGGUUGUAAACCUCUUUUAGUAGGGAAGAAGCGAAAGUGACGGUACCUGCAGAAAAAGCACCGGCUAACUACGUGCCAGCAGCCGCCGUAACAC
rnacentral:rRNA from 1 species